GGAAGGGGGAGGGAUGCACACACUAAACAGGAACAGGAACAUGAAUAGGUGCAUCACCGGUCACUGAGCUAGCAAGCUAAAGUUAGCUAGUUAGUCACAUAAAUGUACGUUCAGCCUGUUAAUUAUUUCUGUCCGAUUUGACUUAUCUUACGAAGUCAGCAUGGCUUAACAUAGUUUCUUUCGUUUUUGACCUCGACAUUGUUCCUCGAUAGGUAUUUUCAUAGCUAUCAUGCUGUCGCUGUUAGCUAGCUAAUGCUAGCAGCGCUAGCUAACCUCAUAUCUGGAUGCCUCACUCUAGUUCCCGAAAGAGAGCAGCAUACUGGCUGCCCAUUCCCAAACCUGAAGCCAACUGUCCCCAGCAGGAAAGACCAGGAAAAGGUGUUGGCUUAAGGUACAACUUCCUAUUGAAGAAAUAUCUGCCAACCUGCUCGGUGGGUGACAGGUAACCGUCUUUCCACCAAGCUGUUCCAGGCCUGGAGUGCCACGCUGGAACUUCCAGAGGCUUGUAGACCUGAAGCAGUGUGAUGUGGUCCUGGUAAUUAUCAAACACACAUAUACACACUCAAUCACUCACUCUGUCUUGUUGUAUAAUUAUUUUAAAGUAAGAAAAUUGUUCCUCUCUGUCGUCUGCUCCUGCAUCUGCUACACUGGCCACAACAUGUGAUACAGAUCUGCCACGCCCAGUAGUUCAGCUGCAGUCACAGCAGUCUUCUGCUGUGGUAGUUAAUUUACCGGCUGCACCAAUGCCUACUACACUGGCCGUGAAAGGAGAAACCUUUUGGUAUUCCUUGAUGGAUACAGAUCUUCCAUGCACUCCACCACUGCCUGACAGCCUCACCCAGAAGUGCAUACACGGGGCCUAUCAGAGAUGGGUGGCUGUUAAGGAAAAAUAAAACAUGCACACACACACACAUUAUCCACAAUGUAAAUAAGUUGUAAUUACUUAAUAUUUGCUCCAUUUUAUUUUAGGAUUAUAGAUAUCUACUCCUUUAUAGCCAUUCUCAAUAUCUACAUAAUUACUCAAACUAUCUAUCAAAUCAAAGUGUGAUUGAUAAUAUUGUAAAAGACUAUGGCUUAAUGUGUACAGUUUGAGGAAAUUAUGAGUGCUUUUUUUCUGAGUUGAAAAACAUGCCUCGCUCACACACAUUGGACCCAAUGUAAAUCAGUUGUAAUAACUUGUUUAUUUUAUGUAUGGUUAAUUUUAUUUGAGGAAAAUAUCUGCAAUAAAGUACAUUCACAGUUAAA